AAGAUCAAUGAGGAAAUCGAUCAGCUAUCGAAAAUUGCCACCAACUCUAGUACAGAACGACACGGAGACAAACCUUGUGGCAUAUACUGGAUGCGAAAGUACGAAAUAUAUCCGAGAUUAUGGAAAAUCUGGAGCUUACAUUUUCGAGCGGAGAUUCUUCGAAGGAAAAGAUAUUGGGUGCGAAACUAAGAAAUUUAUCUGCAAUCAUUGAGAGUAUGGAGCUUGCGGAAUCCAGUCGUGACUAUGUGAAG